UACGGGGGGAGCAAGCGUUGUUCGGAUUUACUGGGCGUAAAGGGCGCGUAGGCGGCCAGCACAAGUCAGUUGUGAAAUCUCCGGGCUUAACUCGGAAAGGUCAACUGAUACUGUGCGGCUAGAGUGCGGAAGGGGCAACUGGAAUUCUCGGUGUAGCGGUGAAAUGCGUAGAUAUCGAGAGGAACACCUGCGGCGAAGGCGGGUUGCUGGGCCGACACUGACGCUGAGGAGCGAAAGCGUGGGGAGCGAACAGG
rnacentral:rRNA from 1 species